rnacentral:lncRNA from 1 species
AGCAGCCUCUGUUUCCUUGUUGUAAUUUUUACACAAUGAGUUCAUCUUCAAGCUGAUUUAAAACUUAUUAAACUUAAUAAAGUUCAUGCAAGCUUGAAAAAGAUGAGCUAAUGUAUCUCCCACUACUCAAGAAAGAGGGAAUCAGUAAUUCAUGGAUGGUCCAAUUUCAAACCAAUUAGAAAGGAACCAGAGUGGUAAAAAAAUCGACCAUUAAAUAAACCUGCUCCAUAAGCACUCCUAUCGUACUAAUAAAAAUAGCACAACCUAGUUCUGUAAUAAAGUCCCAGUACCUUGAAAUUCAAGAUCAACUUUAUCUAACAAACCUCCCACCAUGUUCUAGUUACAUAGUCCAAUCAAAUAGAUCUGGUUCCUUUUUCAGCAGCACCUUCUGUCCUUUCUUAUCUGGAACAGAGACAAUGGAUGGAUGAGAAAAAAAAUCAAAGAAACUUCUGGGUCCUUUGCAAUGGGGGCUGGAUCACCACACCAAGCACUAGCGAAUGGGGUGGUCUAGGAACCACAUCAGAGCCUUUUUGGUAGCUUUGUGUCUCCUGAGUUCUAUUUGUGUCUUCUGCACUGAGGCACUGCCUAACCCUUGACUUCUCGGCAGGGGUGCUUAAAGUUUGAUUCCUCAGGAAUGCAUAUGAGUGGCUGGACCUCUCCACUUUCUCUGAUUUGACAUCCCAGAAGAAAUAUGUUUUCCCUUUGAAGAUUCACUGGCUUCCAGCACAUAGAGACCCAGGCAACUGCCCAGAGCAGAAUGUGGCUCACUUUCUCAGCAUAUCUUUUUUUUCAUUUCAUGGUGCUUGAAAAUCACUUGGGAUGAUAUUUGAGACAUCUGAGAAUUACCAUCUUUUCCAAGCUGACUUCAUUCUAGGUGCAACACCAAGGGCCAUGUGUGUUUCCCAAAGGCCAUUUCCCUGUUUUAUUUGCCUGUUUAAACUUUAUGAAAGGGUUUGGAGUGUCAGAAAUUCAAGGUGACAAGAAGUUGUAAAAAGUUGAAGUGAUCUCAGGGUAGAGUGGCUUGGAUUUUACUUAACACUUCACCGGGGAGAGUUAGUUAUUUCAAUGACAGAUUUAAACACUGUCUCCAAAGAACAAACCGUGAACUGGGUGGAAAUGUCAGUUGAGAAAGAAGAGCAGCAAACAGCUUUGUUUUCCUAUAGUUGUGGUUUUACAUGGUGAUGAUGACAACGAAGAUGAAAAUAUGCAGCAUGAACUCCAGUUGUUAUCUGAGUGAGCAUCUCUGCCAACGCUGAAGGAUAUGUGUGGGUGUCACCUGCAAGCAGAGACAGAGAGAGAGAGAGGGAGAGAGAGAACAGGAGGGAGGCCCUGCUUUGGAAAGAAGAGCCAGCUAACAAUGAUCAACAGUAACAAGUGAUUUCUGUUUAUCUCAUGAACUUUAGAUUCUAUUUCCUUCCCCUCGCUAAUCUCCACAUCUGAAUUUAGUCUGAGGACUAAAUCUAUGAGUGGCUUAGUGACAGAAGAAGGGGGUGGAAAAAGUUGAUUUGAAUGGACAUCAGGACAGUUGCCAUAGUCAGUCAUCUCUCCAGUCUCGUGGGCACACACUUAACAAUUGCUACAUUAGCUUCCAAAGUAGGGAUUUUUGCUAACUUUUGCAAACCCGUGACAUAUCACACAGGGCAAAAAACUUGAGUUUUUUUUCCGCUCCCAAUCCUGUGCAAGUCUUGGUUCACUAGCUUUACGUUUCUCCCUCUUCUCUUCCUCUUCAUUCAUUCAAUAACUAUUUAGCUCUGAGGAGCGGGCUAGGUACUGGGGAUGUGGCAGAGAGCAACAUGAACUUUAUUAUUUCUGCACUUAUAAAGUAUAGAGUGUGUACUUUGUAUAUCCCUUUGUUUCUCCCCUCCCCGAAUCAUUAUAUUCUGCUCCUCAGGGUAACCACUUAAUCUUGAUUGUGGAAUGUAGACUUUAAUGUGGCUACCGGUCAGUCUUUGCUUAUUGGUUUGUCUGAAAUUUAUUUUUCUGAGAUUCUUACUUAAUAGCUCUCACACUUUUAAGGUCUUAGACCAGGAACUGGCAAUUUUUUUUCUAUAAAGGGCCAGAUGAUAAUCAUUUGAGGCCUUGUGUCUGUACUGUCUCUUUUAGAUACUCAAGCCUGCCAUGAUGUAUAAACCAGUCACUGACUGUAUGUAAACAAAUGAGCAUCCCAACAAAACUUUAUUUAUGAGCAUUGGGACUUUAAUUUUAUAUACGUUUCAUGCCAGUUAACAUUACUGUUCCUUUAGUCUUCCCCACCCCCGGCCCCAACCAUUUAGACCAUGUAAAAUCCAUUCUCAGCUUGUGGGAUGGACAAAGGCAGGCAGUAUUUCCUUCCCCUCACUAAUCUCCACAUCUGAAUUUAGUCUGAGAACUAAAUCUAUGAGUGGCUAAAUCUAUGAGUGGGAUUUGGUAUGUGAACUACAGUUUGCUGACCUCUGACUUAAAACCUAACCCACAAUUUUAGCUGUAAGCUUGUCUUUGAGUUAGAAUCACCAACUAUCUGGUUAUGGUUGGAAGGAAUGAGUUUGGAUAUGUAUUAAACCUUCUUAGGAGUGCUAAGUGUCAAGUAUCUGUUUUUUUAAAAUAUUAUUUUAGUUGUUGAUAGACCUUUAUUUUAUUUACUUAUAUGCAGUGCUGAGAAUCAAACUCAGUGCCUCACACAUGCCAGGCAAGUGCACUACCGCUGAGCCCCAGCCCUAGCGCCUCAAGUAUCUGUUUUGAAAGAAAGACAUGGAUCAAUGAAGGAAGAAGGAAUCUUAUCCAGUGGAAAGUCAUUUUAGGGAGAAGAAAAUGAAAAUUAAAAAUAAAGGGAAGGAGUAGUUGUUUUAGGAUGAAAGAGUCCUCUGUAUAUUAUUGCUAAAAGUCUAAAAUUCUGGGGAAUUGUGGUUAUACUUUUCUCAAAUCCUCUUUGCUCUUUCUUCUCUUUUCUAGACAUCAAAUCCUUGUAAUCUCCAAGGAAACAGAGUAAAUUUCUAUUCAUAGUAGUCUGGAAGCAGAAAAAUGGCCUGUGUCCAAAGUAAUGAAAAGGACCAAUUUCCCUGCUAAUUCUUUCACAUUUAGCACACCCAGAUCCCACUUGGGGUGGGUGGAGCAGAGAUCCGAAGCAACUGUCUCAGGGCUGGCCUCCUACUUCUAUCCAUCUCACUUUUUCAAUCUGCACUUAGCUGCCAUUUUAAGUGAGCAAGAGUAAAUCUGUCCCCUGUGAAUCUGAACGAAGGCUCAGCAUUUCACAAGUAACUGGUAGAAUUGCUUUUAUUCUGACACAGAAAGUCCCUGACUGGAUGUUUACUAUUCCUCAUCCCCACCUCCCAUUCCCAUCUACAGCUGCUAGUCACACCCAAGGUACACAUAGUCCUUCCUGGAAACUGCCCAGUGUAUGGGGCACUCUGAGCACCAUCUGGGCAAUUUAAAAAUAGGCUCGAAUGUAGCAUUUAGCCUGGUUUGUCCAGCCAAGAACAGGAAAUUGCCUCCAAAAGGUCAGAUGAUUAAGAUUAUUAUGCCAACAGUAAUGAAAACAGUCUUUGCCAGGAUGGAUAAUCCUGACUCCCUCCAUGACAUUCAAGUUCUGAGUCUGGCGAACAGCCUCAGGAACUCUAAGACUUUUCUUCUCCAGAAUGAAGGGCCACUGUGUACAUUUAUGCAUGGUGUACUCUGCUUAAGGGCCCUUAGCAAAGGGUACAGAAGGGGCUGAAGUCCAGUCAGACUCCCUUUUAUAAUCUAUGUUCCAUAAAGGAGAGAGCACCUUUGUCCAGUGUAGAGGCUUUAAGGCCCCCAUAGGAUGCUUGACUUUCUGCUACUUGGUUACUGAGCUUUAUAGAAUAAGUUAUAUCCCCAUCCUCAAACUGGGAAUGACCAAGGAUGAAUUAAAAAUGAGGCAAACCAAACCAAAACAGAAAAGAACGGUUCUUAACACCAUAAACAUUUCUCUCUGGGUCCCUCCUUUUAGUCCUUCCUUACCCUCAUCUCUGCAUGCUUUCAAUUGGUUGGUUUUUCUUGACAUGCUUCAAGGGAGGUUAGUAAUGUGAGAAUAAACUUCCUGGUAGAGAUUUCAGAGGGAAAACAAAUACAUAAUUUUUUGUGACCUUUAGAAUACUUGGUUUGGAAUUCGUUCUCGAAGUCCCUGGAUUUUUUCAGUUAAGGGCAGAAUUUACUUUAUUUCCUAGUUACUGCUGCACAAGGGAACCAGACUAAAUGACUUCAAGUGUGAUACCUAUAAUAGUUUUCACGUUCCAUGUUAUAAUUUUUGCAGAAUUAUCUUCCACAAAUAAAUCCACUUGCUUUGUAUUGUUCUCAUCAUCACAUUUCUAAGUUAUAUAGUUAUAAAUACUUUAUUUUUGAGAUUUUAAUCAAGAUUAUUUGAACAAAUGUAUAAUUUUCUGUAACUACCAUAUUAAUUAAAUAAAAAUUAUAAAUCACUUUCUCUUAAGAAAAUAACAAAUUUUAUUUGUGGGCUUAGGCUACAUAUAUUGAAAAUUUGUGCCAUUUGUGGAUUUUUUUUUUGUGUGUGGAUUUAAUUUGAAAGACACAUUAUAGAAUGAGAAACUGUUCCAUAUUUUUUUGUUUGACAUUUUCCAAAAAAAAAAAAAUGAACUUCUUGAUGACAUAAACUUAGAGAUUCCUGAAUUCUUCAUAGUGGACUAUAUCUUGAAUAAGAUAGAUGCUCAGAACAUCC